AUUGAGCGCUGGCGGCAGGCCUAACACAUGCAAGUCGAACGGUAACAGGGAUCAGCUUGCUGAUUCGCUGACGAGUGGCGGACGGGUGAGUAAUGUCUGGGAAACUGCCUGAUGGAGGGGGAUAACUACUGGAAACGGUAGCUAAUACCGCAUAACGUCGCAAGACCAAAGAGGGGGACAUUCGGGCCUCUUGCCAUCGGAUGUGCCCAGAUGGGAUUAGCUAGUAGGUGGGGUAACGGCUCACCUAGGCGACGAUCCCUAGCUGGUCUGAGAGGAUGACCAGCCACACUGGAACUGAGACACGGUCCAGACUCCUACGGGAGGCAGCAGUGGGGAAUAUUGCACAAUGGGCGCAAGCCUGAUGCAGCCAUGCCGCGUGUAUGAAGAAGGCCUUCGGGUUGUAAAGUACUUUCAGCGGGGAGGAAGGGAGUAAAGUUAAUACCUUUGCUCAUUGACGUUACCCGCAGAAGAAGCACCGGCUAACUCCGU
rnacentral:rRNA from 1 species